rnacentral:ncRNA from 12 species
GGGUGCAGCGCGCGCUGCAGGUCAUCGGGGAGGGUCGGGCCGCCCUCCU